rnacentral:rRNA from 1 species
CUGGCUCAGGACGAACGCUGGCGGCGUGCCUAAUACAUGCAAGUCGAGCGGACAGAAGGGAGCUUGCUCCCGGAUGUUAGCGGCGGACGGGUGAGUAACACGUGGGUAACCUGCCUGUAAGACUGGGAUAACUCCGGGAAACCGGAGCUAAUACCGGAUAGUUCCUUGAACCGCAUGGUUCAAGGAUGAAAGACGGUUUCGGCUGUCACUUACAGAUGGACCCGCGGCGCAUUAGCUAGUUGGUGGGGUAAUGGCUCACCAAGGCGACGAUGCGUAGCCGACCUGAGAGGGUGAUCGGCCACACUGGGACUGAGACACGGCCCAGACUCCUACGGGAGGCAGCAGUAGGGAAUCUUCCGCAAUGGACGAAAGUCUGACGGAGCAACGCCGCGUGAGUGAUGAAGGUUUUCGGAUCGUAAAGCUCUGUUGUUAGGGAAGAACAAGUGCGAGAGUAACUGCUCGCA